rnacentral:tRNA from 2 species
GGCGGAGUGGCCGAGUGGUCCAAGGCGGUAGACUAGAAAUCUACUGGGUUCGCCCGCGCAGGUUCGAGUCCUGUCUCCGUCG